rnacentral:tRNA from 1 species
GGACCAUUAGCUCAGCCGGUAGAGCACUUGACUUUUAAUCAAGGUGUCCCGCGUUCGAACCGCGGAUGGUUCACCA